UACGGAGGGUGCGAGCGUUGUCCGGAAUCACUGGGCGUAAAGGGCGCGUAGGCGGCCCGGUAAGUAGGAGGUGAAAUCCUGCGGCUUAACCGCAGGGCUGCCUUCUAAACUGCCAGGCUUGAGCACAGUAGAGGCAGGUGGAAUUCCCGGUGUAGCGGUGGAAUGCGUAGAGAUCGGGAAGAACAUCGGUGGCGAAGGCGGCCUGCUGGGCUGUUGCUGACGCUGAGGCGCGAAAGCUAGGGGAGCAAACGGG
rnacentral:rRNA from 1 species